rnacentral:miRNA from 1 species
GUUGGUGCAAAAGUAAUUGCAGUUUUUGCUAUCACUUAAAGGGUAAAAACCAUAAUUACUUUUUCACCAACCUAA